GCUGCAGAAGAAGCACCGGCUAACUCCGUGCCAGCAGCCGCGGUAAUACGGAGGGUGCGAGCGUUAAUCGGAAUUACUGGGCGUAAAGCGCAUGCAGGUGGUUUGUUAAGUCAGAUGUAGAAAGCCCGGGGCUCAACCCUACGGAAUUGCAUUUUGAAACUGGCAAACUAGAGUACUGUAGAGGGGGUAGAAUUUCAGGUGUAGCGGUGAAAUGCGUAGAGAUCUGAAGGAAUACCGGUGGCGAAGGCGGCCCCCUGGACAGAUACUGACACUCAGAUGCGAAAGCGUGGGGAGCAAACAGGAUUAGAUACCCUGAUAG
rnacentral:rRNA from 1 species